UCUACUCUUUCUCCCUCGUCUGCUGUUUCCAUCGGCAUCAGGCUCAGGGUGUGCAGGAGCGAACAGGCCACUGAUGAGACUCCAGCAGCCUUAACAAGCGACUGGAGGACCAUCCAGCCCUAUUGCUUGCAGCAGCUACUAGGGGUGAGCUAUGCUUCAUGUCUCAUCAAUGCUGGGGGAGUGCUGGAAAAGAGAAGCAAAAGGUGAAACCAGGGAUGGAGAGGGAGAAGGUGGACGGAAAAUGUGACUUAGAUCCAUUUCUAAGUGAGAAGAUAUUGAACAUAUUACAGGACCGUGAGGGGAUGGGGUUGGCUCACUCAGAAGGUUUUGGGUCACCCCACAGCAGCGCUGGAGCACGAUCGACUAUUGGUGUAGCCAAUAAGAGCACCCAGUUUGAACUGUACAUCUAUGGAGGGACUCUACCAAACACUUGUGCAUGAGUGCUGUGAGCAAAGACGAGAUGAAUCCCAGCUCCUGGGCCACUUAGUGCUGCAACUGUCAACCUGGGAAUGUCCUGUACCAUCCUCUGAAGCAACUAACUUCGGGGACAGGGUGAUGAGGAAGGACAUGGCAUGGGGUGGCUGCCAAUUCCAGUCUGUCCCAGCUGCUUUGUGCCAAGGUCAUUAUUGUUUUGUGGGUUUUUGUUUGUGUCCCCCCCAGCUGUGUAAUUUCACUUAUAAAAUGCUGGUGUCAGCUGGGAUCAA